AUUGAACGCUGGCGGCAGGCCUAACACAUGCAAGUCGAGCGAGCGGCGGACGGGUGAGUAAUGUAUGGGGAUCUGCCCGAUAGAGGGGGAUAACUACUGGAAACUGUGGCUAAUACCGCAUAAUAUGGGAUGACCCUAUAUGGGAUUAGCUAGUGGGUGGGGUAAAGGCUCCUCUAGGCGACGAUCUCUAGCUGGUCUGAGAGGAUGAUCAGCCACACUGGGACUGAGACACGGCCCAGACUCCUACGGGAGGCAGCAGUGGGGAAUAUUGCACAAUGGGCGCAAGCCUGAUGCAGCCAUGCCGCGUGUAUGAAGAAGGCCUUAGGGUUGUAAAGUACUUUCAGCGGGGAGGCGUUACUCGCAGAAGAAGCACCGGCUAACUCCGUGCCAGCCGCCGCGGUAAUAC
rnacentral:rRNA from 1 species